ACUCAUGGAUUUCCGUGUCCAACGUUUGACCGUUCAUCUUAUUUGAAAAAAUGUGAAAAAAAAUUAAAAAGACAAGUCACACAUAAAGUAUUAAUCAUGUUUUAUCAUCUAACAACAAUGAAAAUACUAAUUAUAAAAAUAAAUCAUAUAAAACGGAGAGUCAAACGUUGGACACGGAAACCCAGGGUUUUUUUUUUU
rnacentral:pre_miRNA from 1 species